AAAAGCCACAACACUUACUACCUGGCAUUUGAUGGUGACAUUUUGCACCCUUGAUGUGGCUCAACGCUUGAAUCUAUUUGUGAGCAAAUCCAUUGACAUGAAGACGGUCAUGCUCUUUGGCAUUCUAAAUGGCAUCUCCAUUGGAUUUCUCAAUUUGAGCCUUGGCUUCAAUUCCAUUGGAUUCUACCAGAUGACAACACUGACAAUAAUACCAUUCACAGUGCUACUAGAAACUGUUUUCCUAAAGAAACAAUUCAGGUAUUAAAAACUGAUAGUAAAAAAUAAUUGAAUUUGGAAAUUAAAGGGCAAUUAAUGCUUAAUUUACUUACUGCAAAACCUUAUGAUAACAUUGUGCAGCCAGAAAAUAAAGUUCUCUCUAUUCCUAUUACUUGUUAGAGUUGGGAUUGCUUCAUACCAGAUUAUGUCACAACGGUUUCUUGAAAUUGAUGCGGGACGCUACAACAAAUCCAGCUAAGCUAUUAACACAAAACAAUUACAUGUCUUGAAAUAAUGUUUAAAAAAAUUAUCUAAGAUGAAAUGAAGUGAAAUGAAAUAAUUGCAUCUCACUUUUUCUUCUCAUGCUGAUCCUUGACAAGAAGUGCAGAACCAAAAGCACCUUUUUCAAUUUGCUCAAGUAUUUUGUACUGCUUGAUGAACGGACUCUUGACGGUUUAGAAUUUCACUAAUGAAAUCUCGUUGUAAGUAUAGUUUCUAAACCAACAAAUAAUCCUUUCAUAUAAAAGAUUGUUUGUCACAAGUACACUACAAGAAAAAAGAUUUUUACCGACAAAUUUUUAGCGGCAAUAAUAUUAUUGCCGUAAAUUCUCUUCUCAAAACCAAUUUUUAGUGGCAAUUAUAUAUUUGCCAUUAAAACUACAGAUUAUAAUGGCUAUUUCAACUAUUGCCACUAAAAAAAAAGCUAAAAUUUUAAAAAUAAAAUAACCUAAAUCGUAAAAUGCAAAAUCAACUCUCCGUGCCUCGCCACUCUUUCUCACACAAACAACUCUCUUAGUGCCUUAUUCUCUCUGAGAAAUGAUAACCAUACACCAAUCUUCUUCUUCUCGCUCUUGCUCUCGCUCUCACAUCUGCAUCAUUUCAUGUUCUUCAUCCAUCAAAUCUCUUUCUAGUAUUCAUCUCAAUCUUAAUCGUCCUCUGAUUCCUUUUCUCAGACAAGCCUGUGUUGAUUUCGAUUGAAAUCUCAAUCGCGCUCUAGUAAUUAGGUUGAACUCGUCAUUUAGAAAAAUAGCAGCGGUGGUGGAGGAGAAUGGGAAUCAUGGCGGUAGAGGGAAUAAGAAUUUGAGCUUGAGUGGCGGUGUCAAUGGUGGAUAUCAGAAAGGAAAGAAGAAAGAGAUGCCGGUGAAGAAUCUCAUGGCCGAGAGUCGGUGUAGGAAGAAGCUUAAUGAUAGGUUGUACAUGCCUAGAUGGAUAGGGCUUCGAUACUUGAGGAUGCAAUCGACUACUUGAGGGAGUUACUGCAGCGGAUUAAUGAUCUUCACAAUGAAUAGGAGGCAACUCCACCUGGUUCUUCGCUACAAUUUUCCACCACAAGCCUUCAACCUUUGACACCCACACCUGCAAUUAUUAUUGUUUGACCGCAAACUUUCCCAGCAAAUUGUAUUCAAAGGAUAAUUCUGGUUCUGGUAGAUCGAACAUCAAAAAUAACAGACCCCUGCUCUUUUCAGCCUUUGGUUUAUGAUUUUCAACCAAAAGACCCUGAAGAUCCAUAUGAUGCACUAGCAGUUCUAUCUGGUAGAUCAGUGUCAGGAGCUGUCCUGGUGAGGAAGCUGAAAAAAUUGCCAAGAAGCAAAUGUCGGCUAGUUGGAUAUUCAAAAGAAGAUGCUGAAAAAGUAGCAACUGAAUUCAACAAAACAUGGGAAACAAGUUUGAGAGUUGGUGUUAAUGAUUGCCAUCACUAUACCAACGCUAACACUACAUAUCUUUCCAGAAGUAGUUCAUUUAGAUAAGUUAAACAUCAUUAUUUAAUCUUGUCUUAUUUUUUUCUAUUAAGGUGAAAGAACGUAUAAGAAAAUAUUUGUUGAAUUGAUUUUAUGUAGAGUUGAAUAAUUAAUUUGACCAUGAAGUAUAUAAUAUUUUGGUAGGUUUAGUGACGUAACUGACCGGGGAAAAAUAUGUGCUAAAAUGUUUGAAGAACAUCGUCACUUAAAUUGGCACGGUUAAGGAGGUGCAUCAGUUGGGCUUGGGUGUAUUAAUUAAGCAUGUGCUUUGAACAUUGAAAACUCAAAAGUCUGAAAGGAAUGAAGCUGAUAGCGCUUGCCAUAAUUAAUAUCUUGGGAAUGUCACUAAUUAAGUUCAGUCAAAGAGAAGCAAUUAUGGUUAUAAGCAAUGGCUCUAAGCUUAGACAACAUUUACUAUAAUACCAACACUAACACCAGCUUAAACAUAAUUAGAAUAUCUCUCAUGAAGAAUUUAUCACCCCCAAGACAGCUUCAUUGAAGAUGAUUCAUAAGAAACCUUUUCAGUUCACAAGUCACUAGUGGUUUCAGAUUUUGGAAGUGAGGAAUCAGAAGUAGUAGUAGUAGAAGUAGAAGAAGAAGAAGAAGAAUUGUUUCCAGGAAGAGAUGCUGAUUCUGUUCCAGAUUCUGUCCCAAUUGAGAUAGUGACAAAAAGUGACAUAUUAGAUAGAGACAAAAACUCUGAUGAAGAUGAUGAGGUUGGUGUUGGACUUGUGAAGAAUAAGAAGGUGCAAGAUUCAAACAAGAUCACAAGGGAUGAUGAUGAGAGAUUUUUCUAUGUGCAUGCUGGUCAUACUAUUACACAAUUGGACAGUACUAAUAAUAAGAACCUUAUUGUUGAGGAAAAGGAUCAUAAUAAUAAAUAUGAUGAGGCAAUAUUUGGAGAUUCUUACACAUGAGCCUGUUGCUCAAUUUGGUGUUAUCUUUUUGCUUUUUGCAUUGGGAUUAGAAUUUUCAACAACAAAGGUUGACUUGUAUACUUAUAUAUUCAGUUAGUUUAUACUCAUAAUUUUAGCUCACCAUAUUUUUUAUGAACCUGUCUAUUUAUGUUUAUAGCUUCGAGUUGUUCAAGCGGUCGCAAUUCUUGGCAGUCUACUUCAAAUUUUCUUAUUUAUGUGCUUGUGUGAAUAACAGCUACGCUAUGUGGUGGUAAAUCAUCUGAAGGAAUAUUUGUUGGUGCAUUUCUUUCUGUCUUCGACAGCAAUGAUCUUGAAAUUCUUGAUGGAAAGGAAUAAUUUAACAUUAGAAGAAAGUGGAAAUUAGGACUGUCCAAAUCAAAAUUGUAUUAUAUGAGCAUACAACCCCCUCAAUCUCAAUCUUGAUUUCAUCAAGAACAAGAACAAGAAGAUGGUUUCUGGUUCCUCAAUAUCUCCAAGGAUUAAGGCUGCUACUUGUAACGACCCAACCUCCAGAACGUCAUGAUCGUACUGAAAUAGUAACCACGGUGGCAACAAAAUAGAGUUCAAAUUCAAUGGAGUUGGAAAUGGAAAUGAGUUAAAUAGAAUUGGAACUACAAAUAGCUUACAAUAAAAUAACGGAGCAGCAACAACAGGAUUCAGGGCAGCUCCAGUGACGGUAAUGGCUGAGCCAACAUAAACAGUAGCAGAAACAGGGGCUGAGCAAAGGACAAUGGUUCCAACCUUCGUGAACUCUCUCCCACCGCAGAUGGGCUUUCUAACAGCAACGGCUUCUGAUCACAGCACAACAACCUGGCGCGGUGAAGAUCCUUUCUUCCUCUACUCUGCGUGUAUUCCGCGAUGUUGGUUAUAGUAGCAUCCAGCAAACCCUCCUCCAGCGGCGGCUCCUUCGACGGCACCAAGGCACGACGGCGACGGAAGGCCCGACGGUACAACUUCAUGCCACUGGGUCGCACUCCUCCUUGCAUCACUGAUUCGCGUCCUCCUUCCUGAACGUCGUGCGUUCUCUCUCUCCGCUGGUCCUUGACGGCGACGGCUCCAAGGGAGAUGACGAGCAAGGACGGCGGUGGCUCCUCGUGGUGGUCGCCCUCCUCUAUUCGGUGACGUCAGUGGCGGGACGGGCUUGGUGGGAGGCAGAACGACUUCUGUGCAGCGACGAUCGGCGUGGCUUCGACGGUGAUGCUCCUCGCGGUUCCACAAACGGCAACGACGAAUCCGAUCGUGACGGGAGGCGCGACAGCGCGGGCGGAGCUGGACGGUGGCAAUGCGACGGUCACGGCAGCGGCGGGGCAGCAGCUCUUCCUUCUCUCUUUCCUAUGCUCUUC